UACGAAGGGGGCUAGCGUUGCUCGGAAUCACUGGGCGUAAAGGGCGCGUAGGCGGCGUUUUAAGUCGGGGGUGAAAGCCUGUGGCUCAACCACAGAAUGGCCUUCGAUACUGGGGACGCUUGAGUAUGGUAGAGGUUGGUGGAACUGCGAGUGUAGAGGUGAAAUUCGUAGAUAUUCGCAAGAACACCGGUGGCGAAGGCGGCCAACUGGACCAUUACUGACGGCUGAGGCGCGAAAGCGUGGGUAGCAAACAGG
rnacentral:rRNA from 1 species